rnacentral:lncRNA from 1 species
CUUUAAUAUUUUUCGUUCAUUGACAUCGGAUGUGUGAUUUAGGUGUUCCCUUAAUUUGUCACGCAGUGUUGAUUAAAAUAAUGUUUGAUUUGGAGUUUCCUUUAGUUUUAUUUCUUGUCAGAGAUCAAUGAGAUGAUAAUGUUUUGUUUCACAGAUCACCCUCGUCCUCUUUCUUCUGGUGAGGUUGUUGGGAUUGUGACUGCAGUCCUUCUGUUUGUGCUCACCUUGACAGUAGUAGCUUAUAUCAUCAUUGUCAGGAAGAGAAGGGAGGCUUUUUGCAACUCGAGGGUUGAUGCAAGGGGCCUGGUGGUCAAUGCAGAGAGGACAGAAAGAGCAGUGGACCUUGUUUAUUCUGACAUUGCCAGCUUCAGGAUUGCCAAGAACAUAGACCCCAAGCCAUCUACAGAUCACCAGAAGCAUGCAGAAGUCAACCCAGAUGUGGAUGUCAUCUACGCAGGCGUGGCAGUGGGUAAACAACAUCAUGUAAGGGAAGAUAUCAUUUACCACAAGGUGGUGAAAAAGGACGAAGAUGACGACAAUGAUUGGAUUGUUUAA